CCUACGGGUGGCAGCAGUGAGGAAUAUUGGACAAUGGACGAGAGUCUGAACCAGCCAAGCAGCGUGAAGGAUGACUGCCCUAUGGGUUGUAAACUUCUUUUAUAUGGGAAUAAAAUGUUCCACGUGUGGGAUUUUGUAUGUACCAUAUGAAUAAGGCUCGGCGAACUCCGUGCCAGCAGCCGCGGUAAUACGGAGGAUCCGAGCGUUAUCCGGAUUUAUUGGGUUUAAAGGGAGCGUAGGUGGAUUGUUAAGUCAGUUGUGAAAGUUUGCGGCUCAACCGUAAAAUUGCAGUUGAAACUGGGAGUCUUGAGUACAGUAGGGGUGGGCGGAAUUCGUGGUGUAGCGGUGAAAUGCGUAGAUAUCACGAAGAACUCCGAUUGCGAAGGCAGCUCACUGGACUGCAACUGACGCUGAGGCUCGAAAGUGUGGGUAUCAAACAGGAUUAGAUACCCCAGUAGUC
rnacentral:rRNA from 1 species